rnacentral:misc_RNA from 1 species
GCAAACUUGGUCAUUUAGAGGAAGUAAAAGUCGUAACAAGGUUUCCGUAGGUGAACCUGCGGAAGGAUCAUUAUCGAGUUUUGAACCAGGUUGUCGCUGGCCUUUGUAUGAUUUGGCAUGUGCACACCUGGCUCGUCCACCUCUUUACACCUUUGUGCACCUUCUGUAGGCUGUGUUCUGAAGGUCAGCUUCUGGGUUGACUUUUGACCUGCCUAUGUUUCUCUUGCAAACGCUUCAGUUGUAGAAUGUGAUUGUUUGUGGAAUAAACUAUAUGUAUAACUUUCAGCAACGGAUCUCUUGGCUCUCGCAUCGAUGAAGAACGCAGC